UACGAAGGGGGCUAGCGUUGCUCGGAAUGACUGGGCGUAAAGGGCGCGUAGGCGGCUUGCACCGUCAGAUGUGAAAUUCCUGGGCUUAACCUGGGGGGCUGCAUUUGAUACGUGUGGGCUUGAGUGCGGAAGAGGGUCGUGGAAUUCCCAGUGUAGAGGUGAAAUUCGUAGAUAUUGGGAAGAACACCGGUGGCGAAGGCGGCGACCUGGUCCGUGACUGACGCUGAGGAGCGAAAGCAUGGGGAGCGAACAGG
rnacentral:rRNA from 1 species